rnacentral:lncRNA from 1 species
AUCCCUUGUUGCUAUGGCUCUGGCGUUUGCCGGCAGCUGUAGCUCCGAUUAGAACCCUAGCCUGGGAACCUCCAUAUGCCAUGGGUGCAGCUCUAGAAAAAAGGCAAAAAGACAAAAAAAAAAAUCAUUAUGAAGAAUAAAAGUAGUUUUUUAAACCAAAAAAUACUUCUAAUUCCAAAAAUUAUGUUUUUAUUGGAAUUAUCUUCAUUUACUGGAAUACAAAGAAAAAAACCUAAGAAAAUGUUGAUUCGGUAAAGCCUCAUACCUUCUGUUUACAGUUUAUCUUUUCCUCAAGAAAUACUUAAAUUCAACUGUGAUGUUAAAUUCUCAAAGUUUACUUGAUUAGGGUCUUUUUGUGAUUUUAUUAUUGGUUUAAAAUAAUAAAAUACUCAUUGUGCACAGAUUUGAAUUGACAGGUAGAAUGGCCUGUCGCCUGUGAUUCAAUAGCCAGGUGCCAAACAGAACAUUGUAAGAAUAUCCAGGAGUUCCUGCUGUGGUGCAACAGAAUGAGUGGCGUCUUGGGAGUGCUGGGAGUCAGGUUCGAUCUCCGACUAAGCACAGUGGGUUAAGGAUCUGGUGUUGCUGCAGCUACGUAGUAGUAAUAUUACUUAACAGAUAUUAUGAAGUAGAGAGAUGUAGAUGAUGAAUGUAAGUAUUCAUGAAUUCACUUAAUUCAUAGAUAUUCUGAAUAUCUCUUUUUAAAAAUUAUAAUGAUUUUUAUUUUUUCUAUUGUAGCUGGUUUAUAGUGUUCUGUCAGUUUUCUACUGUACAGCAAGGUGACCCAGUUACACAUACAUGUAUACAUUCUUUUUUCUCACAUUAUCAUGCUCUAUCAUAAGUGACUAGAUAUAGUUCCCAGUGCUAAACAGCAGGAUCUCAUUACUUAUCCAUUCCAGAGGCAAUAGUUUAUAUCUAUUAAACCCAAAUUCCCAAUCCAUCCCACUCCCUCCCUCUCCCCUUGGCAACCACAAGUCUAUUCUCCAAGUCCAUGAUUUUCUUUUCCUUGGAAAGGUUCAUUUGUGCUGUAUAUUAGAUUCCAGAUAUAAGUGAUAUUAGGUAUUCAUAUUAUUAUAAAGAUAAAAUAAGAAUUGAGGUAUGUAAAAAUGCUAUCUAAAUAUUACUUAUUAUUCAGUGCUCAGAAGGAACAGAGGGCAAGGUUUUCAGUAUGUUUCUAAUUUAUGUUUUGAUUGCAGAAGCCAUGGAUAUUUAUUGAAAUGAUGAAAACGUGGUAUGUUUGUUGAAAAUUUUCUGAAAGAAUAAUAACGUAUUCUUUUAAAAAAAAGUUAAAUGGCCAUGGUCAUUAUCCUCAAAGAGUCCCUGGGACUGUGUUUCUUGAGAAAAGGCCAUAUAUUAGUAUUCAUCUUCACAUUCCUGUCACAGUGCCUGGUUCCUGGUGAUGCUUAGUACAUAUGUGUAUCACGAAUGCAUCUGUAGCCCCACUUGUGGAAGGCAAUGGUGGGCCUUCCAUUACCAGUUACAGUUAAUACUUGGGAAUCAAGCACAAAGAGUCCAAAAGAAUACCUAAAAUUGUCCUUUACUUUACCUUCAAGUUGAGCUGAGACCAUAGGUAGAAGCAGGUUUCACAGCAGCUCUGCUUUUGUCAUUGGCUUCUAUAAAGUCCCAGACUCUCAAGGCUUUUAGCCUUUUCAAACCUGGCUUUUGGGGUGCUCCACAUAUCUAGUCCACAACCAUUCUCUUUGUACCUUCUCUCUCUUCGUCUCAUCCCUAAGCUCUCCACCGCCAUUUUUUCCUCUUCGCAGGGACCUGUUUCUUCUCCCUGGCCUCUGCAACAGCAAGUCAACCAUCCAGUUCCAUUUGGUUCUACUCUAGGGUGGUGGUGAUGGCAGCUUUCAGUCCCCCCCAAACCAGACCUUUUAUUUUACUAACGCUGAUCUCUUUAUGGCAUAGCCACCAUUUAUUAAGAUGCUGAUAGACUGUCUCUCUCUUCUUUCACCUUGAGUCAUAUUACCAAAUUCCUCUUCUUGUAUCAGAGCUUAAUAUGUACCAUGUCCUUCCUAGAAGGAGGACGAGGCUGGAAUUGGACUGGGGAGAAGAAAAAAGAAAGACCAUCUCAUCAUAAAUUAAUGCACAUUUCAGCACAGAAAAUAUUCAAUUAAGUCCUAAAAUUUUGUUGCCUCUAGACAAACCACCGGAGCUUUGGUUAUUUUCAGUGAAAGCUAAAGUUAUAAGCACCAUUGAAGUUGCAGAAAGUAUCUUUUCUGGCAGCAGAAAGUAAAGCGAAUGAGUCGUGGCAACUGAGAGUGAGUUGUGUGUGAAAGCAGGCAGAGUCCCAGGCCUGUUGGACAGUAAUUAAAGGGUCAGAGAGCACUUCUCAAAAGAAGAAAUGAAGGAGAGAGGCCAGUUUAAGGUGGUGCUAAUGGCUAGGAGUUGAACUCCCUGAUAAAAUUUUUCUUCCUGAAGAGCCUCGCCAGGAGCAGCACAGAUGGGGUCCUAGCUCCACCACUUCAUGACUGUGGAAUUUUGGCCAAGUCUUUUGAGUUCUUAGAAUAUGAAUUUCUUAAUUAAAAAAAAUGAGAUAUCAAUACUUGAGAAGAUCUGUUCUAUUUCAUAGGAUUGUUCCAAGUAUAAAAAAGGGCAAAAAUAAAUGAUCCAAAGAAUUAAUCAAAUACUUGUUCGACUCUUGUUAAAUCCCACUUAGAAAAGGAAUUAUGGGCUAAAAGCCAGAAUUAACUCUAUUGUGGCAUAGUGGGUUAAAGAUCCAGUGUUGUCACUGCAGUGGCUUAGGUUGCUGCUGUGGUGUGGGUUUAAUCCCUGGCCUGGGAACUUCCACAUGCCAUGAGUGUGACCAAAAAAUUAAAGUUAUAAAAAUCUUCAGAAUGACUUUGUCAAAUUGAUAUUGUAUUUGUUUCAAGUCUCAAAUACUGACUUGUGAUGAAGUAUUGUCAGACUUAUUGUCGUCUAUGUUAGUGCUUUUAAUAAUCUCUUAUAAGUGCAGCCAGAGGAUGCCUUUCUCUCAGAUGCCUGCCCUUUUCAAUGUGGGCCCUGGUCACUUUUGCUCAGGAGCACAGCUGUGACAUAUUCGGUCUCCUUAGCCACUGCUGUCCUUGCCUGUCAGCUUUCUGACAGGGAGGGCUUGUCAUUGUAGGAGCUGGCUCCUCAACUUUGACAUUUAGCCAAUGUGGCUUACACUAAGCUCCAGACACCUAAAAUCUGGCCACUGUAUACCCCUGCUCACUCUUCCCCAGACGCUUCCUCCAGAGGCCAGCUUUGGAGUGAGAUUAGUGUUGGAUUCAUAGGUUUCAAAUCUGUCUUUUGAUUUCAGCCCCUCAUUAUGUAGAGAGGGGCCUCAGCAUUAAAAAGAAAAUAAAUCUGGCUCUCAGGGAAGAUGAGAUCCAGAGUCUGGUGGGCCCAGAGACAGAGUAAGGUAUGGGCAUGGGGCCUGUCAGGGGAGAACUGAGCAGGAAAGGGAGGAGGUGGAGGUGGCAGGAGAAGCAGAUGCAAUUUCCUGUAGAGUCAUGGAUUCCUUGCUGCAGGAUUCGGAAUCUGCAAAUGGAGCAGGUAACCAAAGGACUGGACAGUAUGCUGAUUUCAUCAGUAAUUUCAGGGGUAGAUGACUUGGUAACAGUUCCUUGGAGGCAAGUUCAAAUGGACUGAUAGUACAAUAUAAUCUUAGUAGUAAGAGGAUCCUGGAUACCAGUAGGCACAUGAAGGGUGCUUGGCAUCACUAAUCAUCAGAGAAAUGCGAAUCAAAACCACAAUGAGAUAUCACCUCAUGCCUGUCAGAAUGGGUAUCAAAAGUCAACAAAUAAUAAGUGUUUAUGAGGAUGUGGAGAAAAGGGAACCCUCAUGCACUGUUGGGGGGUGUAAGUUGGUGCAGACACUAUGGAAAACAGUAUGGAGAGUCUUCAAAAAAUUAAAAAUGCCAGAUAUAUCUUAGAAAUAAAUUUUGAUGCUCUCCCAAAAAAAAAAAAUUAAAAAUGGACCAACUAUAGAAUCCAGCAAUUCUACUCCUGGGUAUUUAUUAAAAAUAAAUGAAAACAGUAGUUAGAAGAGAUAUAUACACUCCUGUGUUCAUUGCAGCAUUAUUUACAAUAGGCAAGAUAGGGAAGCAACCUAAAUGCCCCCCCCAACAGAUGAAUGAAUAAAGAACAUACAGUGUGUGUGUGUGUGUGUAUGUGUGUAUAUACAAUAUAUGUAUAUGUAUACAAUGGAAUAUUACUCAGCCAUAAAAAGAAUGAAAUCUUGGUAUUUGCAACAGCAUGAAUGGACCAAAAGGUUAUUAUGCUCAGUGACAUAAGACAGAGAAAGGCUAAUACUGUAUGAUUUCAUUUAAAGUGGAAUAUAAAAAAAGCAACAGAACAAAUGAACAAACAUAAGUAAACAGAAACAGAGUCAUAGAUACAAACAUGUGUUUGCCAGAAUUAAGGGGAAUGGGGGGCAGAAAGGAAUAAGCAUGGGAGAUUAAUGAGAGGUACUAGCUUCUAGUUGCAUAGUUAAUGUGCUACGGGUAUGACAUGUACAGUGUGGAGAAUAUAGUCAGUAAUUAUAUAAUAUCUUUGAUGAUGGAUAACUAGCAUCCAUGGUGAUCAUUUAAAAAUGUCCAGGAGCUCAUGUUGUGGCUCAGCAGUUAACAAACAUGACUAGCAUCCCUGAGGACACAGGUUUGAUCCCUGGCUUCACUCAGCGGGUUAAGGAUCUGGCAUUGCUGUGAGCUGUGGCGUAGGUCGCAGAUACAGCUCGGAUCCCGCAUAGCUGUGGCCCUGGCAUAGGCCGAUUUGACUCCUGGCCUUGGAACCUCCAUAUGCCAUGGGUGCUGCCCUAAAAAGCACCCCCCCCAAAAAAAAGUCCAGAAAUAGCGAAUCCUUGUUAAGAGGAAUAAACGUAAUGUUGUAGAUUAGUUCUAAUUAAAAAAUAAACUCAUAGAAAAAGAGGCCAGAUUUGUGUUUAUCAGAGGUGGGGGGUGGAGAGUAGGGGGAACUGAAGAAGGAAGUCGAAAGUUAGAAGUUUUCAGUUACAGCUAAAUAAGUGUUAGGGAUGUAAUGUACAACAUGAUAAAUGUAGUUAACACUGCUGUAUGUUGUAUACAAAAGCUGGUAAGAGAGUAAAUCCUAAGAGUUCUUAUCACAAGAAAAAGAUUUUUUUGCUAUUUCUUUAAUUUUGUAUUUUUAUGAGAUGAUGGAUAUUCUCCAAUUGUGGUAAACAGUUCACGGUAUAAGUCAAGCCAUUAUGCUGUACAGCUUACACUUAUACAGUGCUGUAUGUCAAUUAUAUCUCAAUAAAACUGGAAGGGGGAGUUCCCCUCAUGGCUAAGUGAUAACCAAACUAAUACCUAGGAGUUUGCGGCUUCGAUCCCUGGCCUCACUCAGGGGGUUAAGGAUCCAGUGUUGUCGUGAACUGUGGUGUAGGUCGCACACAUGGCCCGGAUCUGGCAUUGCUGUGGCCGUGGUGUAGGCCGGCAACUGCAGCUCUGAUUUGACCCCUAGCUUGAGAACUUCCACAUGCCUUGGGUGCAGCCCUAAAAAGAUUUAAAAAAUAAAACUGGACGGAACCUCCCACCAAAAAAGGGACCUGGCUGUUACUGAGAUGUAUUCAUAAUGAUCAGCUAAACCUUUAUGAUGAUGUACUCAGUUCUGAUGUUUGAAAGAAGUUUCUUUGCCAGUGCAUAUGUAAGUAUGAAUGUAUCAAAUUGCUUAUUUUCUUUCAGUUUCGUGUGUAAGAGGAUAUUGCAUUCAAGUUAAGGAAUUCAGCUGAGCUCACGUUGUUGAAAAGAAGGGGCUACUUACUGGUGGCUCAGUGGGUUAAGGAUCUGGCGUUGUCACUGUUGAGGCUCAGGUCAGUGUCACUGGUCCUAUCCCUGGCCUGUGAACUUCUGCAUGCCAUAGGCAUAGC